UCUGUUAUGACUUUGUAGUGGGCUCUAUCAACUGUCCAGGGCAAAGUCGGUCUACCCUGAUGGCACUACCUGUUACCCUGACCUCAACGUAGUGGGUGUGGACUACAGGAGCCCUGAUGUCAAGAAUUAAUAUAGACGGUGAUGGUGGCAAGGGUGCCUCCAUAAGGUGCCAGAAUUCCCAGCCUGGAGCCAGAGGCUGCUAUUGCAAGUCAUAUGGGGGAUGAUCUAUGUUAGGCGUCAGAAAGGUGGUGUACGCAGGAAGACAAGGCAAAGAUGUGAUUAGACUACCUUCAAUAAGACAGGGCAACAGACACAUGACAGAAAGUGACUGGGAGAGAGAGACUUUGAAUGGACUGGCCUGAAACUGAACUGGGUUUCCAAGUUUAUGGUUGAGUUUAAAUGUUAAUGCUGUUAUCAACUGUACUUUUAUCAAAUUGCUCAUGUAUGAUGACUGGAUUUACUGCUUUUUAACUUUGUAUACAUUUUAAAUAAAUUUAAGAUUAAAUGUUCAAGAUUGUGUUCAUUCCAUCUCAUUAUACUGUAGCAGUAAAUGUGUAACACAAAAACACAUACAGUAGUGAUAGAUGUUCUAUGUAAGUAAUGAUAAAGUACUAAGUGAGUAAUUUGUUUAAAAUUGUCAGCAUUAUAUUCUUUAAACUUGUUUGCUUCUUAAAAAGGCUUUCUGCCAUCUAAAAAAUGAGCAUAGCAUAAUUCAACAUAAUUGAUGGGUCAGAUAAACCCAAUUAAAGAAGUUAAUCUAAACCAUUAUUGGGUCAAAAAGACACAGUAAUAUUCUGGGUCACUGUAACCCAACAUCCUGGUCAGAAUGACCCAAUAUAACCCAAUAUAUGGGUUGACUUUCUUACCCAUAUAUUGGGUUAAAUAACCAACCCAACAUGCUAGGUCAUUCUAACCCAAGACGUUUGCUGUCCAA